rnacentral:rRNA from 1 species
GAGCAACCUGCCCUGGACUCUGGGAUAAGCGCUGGAAACGGUGUCUAAUACUGGAUAUGAGCCUCUAUCGCAUGGUGGGGGUUGGAAAGAUUUUUCGGUCUGGGAUGGGCUCGCGGCCUAUCAGCUUGUUGGUGAGGUAAUGGCUCACCAAGGCGUCGACGGGUAGCCGGCCUGAGAGGGUGACCGGCCACACUGGGACUGAGACACGGCCCAGACUCCUACGGGAGGCAGCAGUGGGGAAUAUUGCACAAUGGGCGGAAGCCUGAUGCAGCAACGCCGCGUGAGGGAUGACGGCCUUCGGGUUGUAAACCUCUUUUAGCAGGGAAGAAGCGAAAGUGACGGUACCUGCAGAAAAAGCGCCGGCUAACUACGUGCCAGCAGCCGCGGUAAUACGUAGGGCGCAAGCGUUAUCCGGAAUUAUUGGGCGUAAAGAGCUCGUAGGCGGUUUGUCGCGUCUGCUGUGAAAUCCCGAGGCUCAACCUCGGGUCUGCAGUGGGUACGGGCAGACUAGAGUGCGGUAGGGGAGAUUGGAAUUCCUGGU